UUGUACCUUGAAAACUGGAUAAGAACAUGAAGAUGAAGCAUCAAAAAGCGCUGAAUCACGCUAAGUUAAGUGAAGAAGGGCGCACGGUGGAUGCCUUGGCACCAGGAGCCGAUGAAGGACGGGACAAACACCGAUAUGCCUCGGGGAGCCGUAAGUAGGCGUCGAUCCGGGGAUUUCCGAAUGGGGCAACCCCCUGUCCGUCAUGGGGCAGGAUCCUUACCUGAAUCCAUAGGGUAAGGAGGGCAACCCGGGGAACUGAAACAUCUCAGUACCCGGAGGAGAAGAAAGCAACAGCGAUUUCCUGAGUAGCGGCGAGCGAAACGGAAACAGCCCAAACCAGUAAGCAUGUCUUACUGGGGUUGUAGGACACUCCACAUGGAGUUACCAAGAAAUCGGGUAGAUGAAUCGGUCUGGAAAGGCCAGCCAGAGAAGGUAACAGCCCUGUAGUCGAAACCCGGUUUCCUCCGGAGUGGAUCCUGAGUACGGCGGAACACGUGAAAUUCCGUCGGAAGCUGGGAGGACCAUCUCCCAAGGCUAAAUACUCCCUGGUGACCGAUAGUGAACCAGUACCGUGAGGGAAAGGUGAAAAGCACCCCGGGAGGGGAGUGAAAGAGAACCUGAAACCGUGUGCCUACAAGUAGUCGGAGCCCGUUCAUGGGUGACGGCGUGCCUUUUGUAGAAUGAACCGGCGAGUUACGAUUCCAUGCGAGGUUAAGGAGUGAAUCCGGAGCCGCAGCGAAAGCGAGUCUGAACAGGGCGACAGAGUAUGGGGUCGUAGACCCGAAACCGUGUGAUCUACCCAUGUCCAGGGUGAAGGUAAGGUAACACUUACUGGAGGCCCGAACCCACGCGUGUUGAAAAACGCGGGGAUGAGGUGUGGGUAGCGGUGAAAUGCCAAUCGAACACGGAGAUAGCUGGUUCUCUCCGAAAUAGCUUUAGGGCUAGCCUCAGGGAAGAGUGCUGGAGGUAGAGCACUGAUUGGACUAGGGGCCCUCAUCGGGUUACCGAAUUCAGUCAAACUCCGAAUGCCAGUGACUUGAUCCCUGGGAGUCAGACUAUGAGUGAUAAGGUCCAUAGUCGAGAGGGAAACAGCCCAGACCGCCAGCUAAGGUCCCCAAGUAUGCGUUAAGUGGAAAAGGAUGUGGAGUUGCUUAGACAACCAGGAUGUUGGCUUAGAAGCAGCCACCAUUUAAAGAGUGCGUAAUAGCUCACUGGUCGAGUGACUCUGCGCCGAAAAUAUACCGGGGCUAAACGCAUCACCGAAGCUGCGGACUGUUCUUCGAACAGUGGUAGGAGAGCGUUCUAAGGGCGUGGAAGCCAGACCGUGAGGACUGGUGGAGCGCUUAGAAGUGAGAAUGCCGGUAUGAGUAGCGAAAGAGGAGUGAGAAUCUCCUCCACCGAAAGCCUAAGGUUUCCUGAGGAAGGCUCGUCCGCUCAGGGUUAGUCGGGACCUAAGCCGAGGCCGAAAGGCGUAGGCGAUGGGAAACAGGUUGACAUUCCUGUACCACCAUCUUCCGUUUGAGCGAUGGGGUGACGCAGGAGGAUAGGGGAAGCGCGCGGAUGGAAGAGCGCGUCCAAGCAGUGAGAGUGGUGGAUAGGCAAAUCCGUUCACCGGAAGCUCAAGCUGUGAUGGGGAGGGAACUAGAGUACCGAAGUCUCCGCAUUCACACUGCCAAGAAAAGCCUCUAGCA
rnacentral:rRNA from 1 species